rnacentral:rRNA from 1 species
ACGGUUUGGGGAAUUAACCUUGACGAAAGUAAGACUAAUACCCAAUGAUAUCUCUAGAAGACAUCUGAAAGAGAUUAAAGAUUUAUCGGUGAUGGAUGGGGAUGCGUCUGAUUAGCUUGUUGGCGGGGUAACGGCCCACCAAGGCGACGAUCAGUAGGGGUUCUGAGAGGAAGGUCCCCCACAUUGGAACUGAGACACGGUCCAAACUCCUACGGGAGGCAGCAGUGAGGAAUAUUGGUCAAUGGGCGAGAGCCUGAACCAGCCAAGUAGCGUGCAGGACGACGGCCCUAUGGGUUGUAAACUGCUUUUAUAAGGGAAUAAAGUGAGUCUCGUGAGACUUUUUGUCAUGUACCUUAUGAAUAAGGACCGGCUAAUUCCGUG